AUUGAACGCUGGCGGCAUGCCUUACACAUGCAAGUCGAACGGCAGCGGACCUUCGGGUGCCGGCGAGUGGCGAACGGGUGAGUAAUAUAUCGGAACGUACCUUUCAGUGGGGGAUAACGUAGCGAAAGUUACGCUAAUACCGCAUAUUCUGUGAGCAGGAAAGCAGGGGAUCGCAAGACCUUGCGCUGAUUGAGCGGCCGAUAUCAGAUUAGCUAGUUGGUGAGGUAAAGGCUCACCAAGGCGACGAUCUGUAGCGGGUCUGAGAGGAUGAUCCGCCACACUGGAACUGAGACACGGUCCAGACUCCUACGGGAGGCAGCAGUGGGGAAUUUUGGACAAUGGGCGCAAGCCUGAUCCAGUCAUGCCGCGUGAGUGAAGAAGGCCU
rnacentral:rRNA from 1 species